rnacentral:rRNA from 1 species
AUUGAACGCUGGCGGCAGGCCGAACACAUGCAAGUCGAGCGAGCGCCGGACGGGUGAGUAAUGUAUGGGGACUGCCCGAUAGAGGGGGAUAACUACUGGAAACGGUGGCUAAUACCGCAUACUAGCGGAUAACCCAUAUGGGAUUAGCUAGUAGGUGGGGUAAAGGCUCACCUAGGCGACGAUCUCUAGCUGGUCUGAGAGGAUGAUCAUCCACACUGGGACUGAGGCACGGCCCAGCCCCCUACGGGGGCAGCAGUGGGGAAUAUUGCACGAUGGGCGCAGGCCUGAUGCCGCCAUGCCGCGUGUGUAACGAAGGCCUUGGGGUUGUAACGUACUUUCAGCGGGGCGGCGUUGCCCGCAGGAGAAGCACCGGCUAACUCCGUGCCCGCCGCCGCGGUAAUUC